rnacentral:rRNA from 1 species
UAGGGAAUUUUGGACAAUGGGGGCAACCCUGAUCCAGCCAUCCCGCGUGAGUGAAGAAGGCCUUCGGGUUGUAAAGCUCUUUCGGCAGGAACGAAACGGCGGGCUCUAACAUAGCCUGUUAAUGACGGUACCUGAAGAAGAAGCACCGGCUAACUACGUGCCAGCAGCCGCGGUGAUACGUAGGGUGCGAGCGUUAAUCGGAAUUACUGGGCGUAAAGCGUGCGCAGGCGGAUUGUUAAGCAAGACGUGAAAUCCCCGGGCUUAACCUGGGAAUGGCGUUUUGAACUGGCAGUCUAGAGUGCGUCAGAGGGGGGUGGAAUUCCACGUGUAGCAGUGAAAUGCGUAGAGAUGUGGAGGAACACCGAUGGCGAAGGCAGCCCCCUGGGAUGACACUGACGCUCAUGUACGAAAGCGUGGGUAGCAAAC